rnacentral:ncRNA from 1 species
UGAAGAACGAUGAACGGGAAUAGUAGGAUGACAUGCCCUUCAGAGAGUGGAAUUGCUGCGCUGAGAGAUUCCGCAGGAUGCUGUUUCAACCGAAGUCGCCCGGGAGUUGCCUGCUUGAUCCCGUCCGCUUUUUGCGCCGGGUUAGGGCAUGGCCGGCUGCAGCCGUUAUCUGCAUGAAGUGUCGCGUGCAUGAAGGCAUCCGUCCCCGGAGGACGGCCGCCGGAGAGAUCUGGCGUAGAAGGUUGACCAUGGCGCGAAACAAAGGUGGUACCGCGAAAGAACAGCCUUUCGUCCUUUGA